UUACGGCCAUAUCCCGUUGAAGGACUGGUGCUCGUAUGAUCACUGAAGUUAAGCAACUUCGAGUCUGGUCAGUACCUAGAUGAGUGACCACUUGGGAAUGC